AGGGUUUGAUUCUGGCUCAGGAUGAACGCUGGCGGCGUGCCUAACACAUGCAAGUCGAACGAAGCGGUUUUGGUGAAGUUUUCGGAUGGAACCGAGAUUGACUGAGUGGCGGACGGGUGAGUAACGCGUGGGUAACCUGCCUCACACAGGGGGAUAACAGUUAGAAAUGACUGCUAAUACCGCAUAAGCGCACGGGACCGCAUGGUCCAGUGUGAAAAGCCUUAACGGUGUGAGAUGGACCCGCGUCUGAUUAGGUAGUUGGUGAGGUAACGGCCCACCAAGCCGACGAUCAGUAGCCGACCUGAGAGGGUGACCGGCCACAUUGGGACUGAGACACGGCCCAA
rnacentral:rRNA from 1 species